UUGUUUCUCUCCCCCCCCCCCCCCCAGAACUUAACCAAAAUGUAAACACAUGUUAACGUGGAGUGUUUGCAGGGAUAAAUGAGUAUGUGAAUGCAAGAGAAUAAGCUUGGUCAGGUGUUUCUUCAGGCAGUAUUCUGUUUUGUUUGACAAAGGGCCUCUCACCAAGCAGGCCAGGCUAGAUUGGCUGGAAAGCCUGCUAGUUGGAUUACAAACUUGAGCCCCAUCCCUUGAUUUUUUUUUUCUUUUUCUUUUUUCUUUUCUCUUUUAGAUUGUGCCUGAGUCCCAAACUCGAUUCAUCAUCCAUGCAAUGCAGGAUAUAUGCACCUAUGUUGUUUCUUUUUCAAGACUUCUCAUAGUGAAACCUUUACACCCUGGGUGUAAAGGUUUUUGACAUUUUGAGAUAAUAUCCUUUGUUCCUUUUAUAUAGUGUGUGAAGUUCUUUGGAGUCUUGUGAUUAGCUAGCAAUGUAUAUAAGCUUAUUAAAGGAACCAAGUACAGUGAAACCCUCAAGAACCCUGGUAAUGUACAGAUGCUGAGUUAAAGGUUUACUUCUUAAGCAGUUGUGACAAAUGUUGAUGGCAGCACCACUCAGGUCACCUGGAUAAGCCUUCUCGUAAGGAGAUCUAUUUGUAGUAACUCUGGAUUACAGGUGAGCUUCUUAGCCAAGGUUUUUCUUCACCACCCUCCUCCAUUUAGCUUUUGUUCCCUGCCCCUUUUUAUUAACUUUGUUUGUUUGGUUAUUGUUGUUUUGGAUCGCCCAUAUCUGAAAUAGUAGCCUUAGGAACACUGCCAGUUGAUUGACAACAUAAAAUAUGUUGCUCUUAAAUGUGUUUCCAGGUCAGUUCCCUGCACAAGUAUCCUUCAAACUAGGCCCUGACAACAUAAAAUAUGUUGCUCUUAAAUGUGUUUCCAGGUCAGUUCCCUGCACAAGUAUCCUUCAAACUAGGCCCGGUGUCAACCGAUCUGUUGGUACCACUAUGUUAACCUACCACUUCCCAAAUCAGUGGACUGAAUGGUCUUUAACCACACUGACAAGCUUCCAGCGCCUUCGCUCAACGAUAGGAGCCGCCCAACGAUAGGAGCCGCUCAGCGAUAGGAGCCGGUGAGGCAGAAAAGCAGGUGAUCUGCGGAACCUCACGCAUAUACAGGGCUCAAGGUCUUCCGCAUCGUUCAUCUCAUGAUCCUCAAGGACCCAGGACAGGGAUGGGAUGGGGGAGCGACGGACAGCAGUAAAACGAAAACCACACAAAACACUUUCCCCGCAAUCACAGCAAAUGACAACGGAGGAAGCAGAAGAAUCCAGUCAUAGGGCUCACAUCCACUUGUGAUCUUGUCCUCAGGAAUGUCAUUCGAGCAUGACAUGAAAGCGUUCCCUACUGACCCCAGGGAUGCAAGCACUGCCGGGACUCAGCAGGGUUCCUUUCCAAGUCCCCCGGGUGGUCACGCAGCCGACCCUUGCGGCCUGCCCUUCUUUGAGAGAGUCCUCCUUGAGACUCACCCUAAGUCUCCGGAGCGGCCUGGGGACACCAGGUGACCAAGCAUGGCUGACUCCCGUGCUCAACCCUGCUGAAGGGCACCGCACACCAACCUAGGCCCUCCCAACGCCUCGCCCUGUGACAAGAUUUCUGUUGGCGCUUGCUAGGUAAGAUUUCAUGGUCACAGGUUCCUACUCUCCUGGCAUACACAUUCUCACAGUUAAUUCAACCGCAUACCUAGGUACACUACAAGGAAGGAAUUUUUUGCAGUCAUUAUAAAGGUGCGAUCAGUUAAGAAAAAGAUUGCCUAGCUGAGCCAAUCAUAAAAGCUCAUUAAAUCUUGGUUUGUGUGAUAGAGACAAGGGAGUUAGAGAUUAGAAGAAUGAGGGUUAUACAAUGUUCUACAAGUCUUUGGUGGCUGUGAUAAAAGUAAGCAUAAUCAUUAACUCCCCUAUUAUGGAAUUUAAGUCAGUCUGGAGUGGAUAAAAAUGAUCUAGCUAACAGCUUGAAGUAAAGUAAUAACUUCAACAAUGACGAGAACUCAAUUUCUGUUGCCAACAGUCAACUUGAAAUAGGACCUUGUGAGAACCAAGAACCACAGCUCAACCUAAAUCCUGGUCUAUGCUUGAUGAGACUCAGCAGUCUUGCUAUAAACUCACGACAAUAAAUUGUUUCUUAAAUGUG